ACUCGCUGGUUUCCGCACAUAUCUGACUUUCUCCUCGCCUUUUACUAGAAGAAACAGUGUACGGGUACCUAAUGGCGAGCGUUCAAUUUCUUGUCACUUCCAAAUUAUAUUUGGUU
rnacentral:snRNA from 1 species